rnacentral:lncRNA from 1 species
UUAUUCUGAGAACAAAAAUUUGUGUCUUUAAAUUGGUAAUUCGUUUUUGGUUUUUGAUGGCAUCGUCUGUUGCAAUUGAUCCCGUUGUGACCCUGUGCCCUCCAAAUCACAAUUGGAGGAUCAAAGUGAGAGUUGUUCGACUAUGGAUUGCUGAUGGGUUUGCUGGGGAAAACAAACCUGCUUCAAUGGAGUUGAUUUUACUGGAUCAACAUGUAUGUGUGAUGUUCUUUUACGCUUUGUUUUUUUUUAUUGUUAGUAUUGUGAUAUUGUGAUUUUUUUGCUGAAUAUGUAUGUUAAUUUUUCUUCAUGUCCCUUAGAUUGAUUUUGUUAUUUGAUUGUACUUCAGAUAAUAAUGUAAUAUUAUGUGUCAUUUUAGGGUGGAAAAAUCCAAGCAACUGUGAGGAAGCUCAUGUUUAGGAAGUGGGGUGAACAGUUCGUGGAAGGAAAUGUUUAUAUCAUUACAUUUUUUCACUUGAUCCCCAAUUUGGGUGCCUAUCGACCUACUGAUCAUGCUUUUAGGAUUCUUUUUAAUCCUAAAACUAAGAUCAUUCCAGCUGAGAGUAGCAUUAUCCCAAGGUGGGGAUUUUCUCUGAAGGAUUCUGCUCAACUUAAUGAUGAUGGCUUCCAGACGGAAUACUUAGUUGGUGGGUGUUUUUUAACAAUGAGCCUAGGCUAUAGAUUUUGUUUGAAAUUUUCUCAUCCAAAUAUUUCGAUGUAGAUAUGAUUGGUUUGUUGACAGCUACCUCUGAGGAAAGGACUUAUGUCAAGGAUGACAUUGUUACAAAGAUGAUGUUGCUUGAAAUUAGUGAUGACAAGUAUGGCCUAUCUUUAUUUAAGAAGGAUUUGAAUAUUUGCUUCAGCCUUCUGUUGUAAAUUAUUUCCUGUUACUAUUUUGUAUUUAUAUGUGUGUAUAUUUUAUUUUUUAACAGAGGAAAACUGGAGUGUGCCCUUUUUGGAGAGUAUGUUCAGAUUGUAUUGGACUACCUUAGUUCUAAUCCUUUGGAAAAGCCUGUUGUGGUUCUCCAGCUUGCAAAGCUUAAGUCAUUUAGAGGUACUUUUUUAUUUAUACAAGGAAUGAUAAUCAUAUUGGAUUUCCACUUAAUUUCUGUUGUUUUUAUUAUAGGUAAGAAUGUUCUUCAGAAUGUAAUGAAAGCAUCGAGGAUUAUCUUUAAUCCUGAGGUUGCUGAAGCUGAAUCUUUGAUGGACCGGUUAGUUUUGAGAUGUUUGUUAUUUGUAAUUUUUAGGUUGACUUGUUUCUGAAUUUUCUGAUUUGUCUUUUGUUUUAUUGUAGCAUAUCUGGCCUUAAUAUGCAGCCCAAUCAACCUGUGGGGCAUAUUAUUUCUCCUAAUCCUUCUGUUCCAAUUUUUGAAGAUUUUAUGAACAACUAUCCUAAGAAAACUAUAUGUGCUUUGAAUGAAACUACUGAGGUAUUUUGCUAUUUUUGUUUUCCAGAUUUAAGGUUAUUGGUUGUGCAAAGUUAAUAGGGUUAUUUCUUUGAUCCCGUUGUGACCCCGUGACCUCCAAAUCACAAUUGGAGGAUCAAAGUGAGAGUUGUUCGACUAUGGAUUGCUGAUGGGUUUGCUGGGGAAAACAAACCUGCUUCAAUGGAGUUGAUUUUACUGGAUCAACAUGUAUGUGUGAUGUUCUUUUACGCUUUGUUUUUUUUUAUUGUUAGUAUUGUGAUAUUGUGAUUUUUUUGCUGAAUAUGUAUGUUAAUUUUUCUUCAUGUCCCUUAGAUUGAUUUUGUUAUUUGAUUGUACUUCAGAUAAUAAUGUAAUAUUAUGUGUCAUUUUAGGGUGGAAAAAUCCAAGCAACUGUGAGGAAGCUCAUGUUUAGGAAGUGGGGUGAACAGUUCGUGGAAGGAAAUGUUUAUAUCAUUACAUUUUUUCACUUGAUCCCCAAUUUGGGUGCCUAUCGACCUACUGAUCAUGCUUUUAGGAUUCUUUUUAAUCCUAAAACUAAGAUCAUUCCAGCUGAGAGUAGCAUUAUCCCAAGGUGGGGAUUUUCUCUGAAGGAUUCUGCUCAACUUAAUGAUGAUGGCUUCCAGACGGAAUACUUA